rnacentral:tRNA from 1 species
GAAGCGGUGGCUCAAUGGUAGAGCUUUCGACUCCAGUAAAGUUAAAAGAUUGGUGUUUAUCGAAGGGUUGCAGGUUCAAUUCCUGUCCGUUUCA